AGAGUUUGAUCAUGGCUCAGGAUGAACGCUAGCGGCAGGCUUAAUACAUGCAAGUCGAGGGGCAGCGGGGGUAGCAAUACCUGCCGGCGACCGGCAAACGGGUGCGCAACACGUACACAACCUUCCUGAGAGAGGGGGAUAGCCCAGAGAAAUUUGGAUUAAUACCCCGUAAGAUUGUUUGGUGGCAUCACCGAACAAAUAAAGGCCAGCAAUGGUUGCUCUUAGAUGGGUGUGCGUCUGAUUAGGUAGUUGGUUGAGGUAAAGGCUCACCAAGCCUUCGAUCAGUAACUGGUGUGAGAGCACGACCAGUCACACGGGCACUGAGACACGGGCCCGACUCCUACGGGAGGCAGCAGUAAGGAAUAUUGGUCAAUGGACGCAAGUCUGAACCAGCCAUGCCGCGUGAAGGAUGAAGGUCCUCUGGAUUGUAAACUUCUUUUAUCUGUGAAGAAAGGCACUUAUUCUUAGGUGUUUGACGGUAACAGAGGAAUAAGCACCGGCUAACUCCGUGCCAGCAGCCGCGGUAAUACGGAGGGUGCAAGCGUUAUCCGGAUUCACUGGGUUUAAAGGGUGCGUAGGCGGGCGAGUAAGUCAGUGGUGAAAUCUCCAGGCUUAACCUGGAAACUGCCAUUGAUACUAUUUGUCUUGAAUAACGUGGAGGUGAGCGGAAUAUGUCAUGUAGCGGUGAAAUGCUUAGAUAUGACAUAGAACACCAAUUGCGAAGGCAGCUCACUACACGUUCAUUGACGCUGAGGACGAAAGCGUGGGCAAACAGGAUUAGAUACCCUAGUAGUCC
rnacentral:rRNA from 1 species